UGUAGUUUUCACAACAAAGAGCAUGAAUAAUCUUUCUGGACAAAGUCUAUUUCAUUUUUUAUCUUUUUAUCCCCGUCAUCUGGUUCAGUGCCUCGUAAACACUAAAAAUGGCUCCUAAGAAGGAGAAGUCAAAGGCUACUCCAAGGAAAACCAGAUGACCGACUUUUUUCUUCACUGAAGCAGAAUGGAUGGACUCCCUGAAUCCUAAAUAAACAUUAUUAAACAGUAUGUAACAGAACCCA